UGUAUAUAUCACACUGUGCUGAGUUUAGUCAGAAGGCUGGUGAUGUGCAGAAAAUAAUGCAAAGAUUUCUGUGGACUUUAUCCCUUUUCCAAGUUCUGAUAUGUGUGACAAUGAAGGUCAAGGCUGAAAGUGUUUUUAUUGGAACAGAAGGAGGCAGUGUGGAUAUCUCCUGUAAAUACCCUGCUGGAUAUCAUAUACACCCAUGUACUUCUGUCGUGAUCCAUGCUCUCCUUUUGAUGUACUAAUUAAAUCUGUGAAGGCUGAUACGGUCGUCUCUAAGGAAAGAUACUCUGCAGUAAACACUCUGUCUGCACGUCGCUUCUCUGUCACCAUCAGACACCUCACAUUAAAUGACUCUGGAGUUAAUUACUGUGGAGUGGAUACAUGGGGCAAAGACAAGUUAACUAUAGUAAAGCUUACUGUCGGUGAAGUAUCGAGACAGAAUAAAAGUCCUGAAGCUACAGAGCAAUCCGAUGCCUCCACAAUGACAACAGCUACUGCAGCUCCUACUGUGUCCACUCGUGAUCCAGUGUCGAGGCAGAAUCAAAGCCCUCACAGUGAUAUCAAGUACUGCAUGUAGGACAUAAACGCAUAUUGCUGCACUCCAACUAGUAAACUCCUUAUUAUGUUUCUGUUAACCAAUUAGAAACAUCAGCAAAGGAAUAGUUGGAUAAAUAAUUAGAUGCAAAUUCAAUCAUUGUAUGGAAUAUUUAGAUCCUUUUCUUAAAAAAGAGGGAGUGCACAAGAAUUUCUUAUAAAAUGUUCAAUGUAGAUAUUUAUUUCUUAAUACUACUUCAUAUGAAAAGGUGUCACCCACAACUCAAACUAAACAUUCGUUAUCCCCAAAUGUUUUUCUUUAUUGAUCGCUCUGUUCUGUUUCUUAUUUUCCAGUAUUGACUAAUCACUUGCAUUUAAAUAAUAUUCUUAAUUGCCUGCUUAGUAAUCAAAGUGGGUUCUUGAAUAAAGAAAUUAUUAACAUUUAAAAUGCUUAACAUUACCUGUGUUGUUCUUAACUGAAAGCCUGUGUUCACUUACUGAAAAAUGCUUCUAAUGUUUCCUAAAUUGUGAGUAAAUUUUCCGGGAUUAGAUUUACAGAAAGUGACUGAACUGUGAGAAGCUCCAUGGUGAAAUGAUGUGUUCACCUUGAACAAAAGACCAGAGUUUAUUCUGGUCAGGAUCACAGCAAACUGGAACACUGGGAGCAAGGCUGGAAUACAUCCUGGAUGAGAUGCUAGUCCACACACGCGCGCACACACACACUCACACUCACUCUUGACUGCUGCCUAUAGCUUAUUCUGUCUUGCUCACAUAUUUAAACUGUUAGCUCAUAACAUUGUUCCAGUUCUCAAAACAACUAGCUGAAAGUGAGAUCAGACCUGUGGUGUGUUACGGGAACAGAAACAGAGGCCUGAUGUGUCUAAAACAUCCUGUC
ensembl:lncRNA